AGGAGGAAGCUGGUCGCAAGAGCAGGGUUAUUGAUGAAACCAAACCAAUGUUGGUGGUAGAUAGCGCGUUGCCCAUUGAAAAGUAUGAUCGCACCCUUUUCUACAACAUAGCAUUGAGCGAAACAUCUGAUAUCAUCAAACGAGUCUCCGUCACCCUGGAUGUGGAAACAGCGCAUCCGCGGCUCGAGG